AUUGAACGCUGGCGGCAGGCCUAACACAUGCAAGUCGAGCGGAUGAAGUGAGCUUGCUCCUGGAUUCAGCGGCGGACGGGUGAGUAAUGCCUAUGAAUCUGCCUGGUAGUGGGGGAUAACGUCCGGACACGGGCGCUAAUACCUCAUCCGUCCUGAGGUAGAAAGUUGGGGAUCUUCGGACCUCACGCUAUCAGAUGAGCCUAGGUCGGAUUAGCUAGUUGGUGGGGUAAAGGCCUACCAAGGCGACGAUCCGUAACUGGUCUGAGAGGAUGAUCAGUCACACUGGAACUGAGACACGGUCCAGACUCCUACGGGAGGCAGCAGUGGGGAAUAUUGGACAAUGGGCGAAAGCCUGAUCCAGCCAUGCCGCGUGUGUGAAGAAGGUCUUCGGAUUGUAAAGCACUUUAAGUUGGGAGGAAGGGCAGUAAGUUAAUACCUUGCUGUUUUGACGUUACCAACAGAAUAAGCACCGGCUAACUUCGUG
rnacentral:rRNA from 1 species